GAUGAAGAACGCAGCGAAAUGCGAUACUUGGUGUGAAUUGCAGAAUCCCGUGAACCAUCGAGUCUUUGAACGCAAGUUGCGCCCGAAGCCAUUAGGCCGAGGGCACGCCUGCCUGGGCGUCACACGUCGUUGCCCCCCCAUCUACUCCUUCGGGAUUGCGGGGGGCGGAUGAUGGCCUCCCGUGCGCCUCGCCGCGCGGUUGGCAUAAAUGCCAAGUCCUCGGCGACGCACGCCACGACAAUCGGUGGUUGCGAAACCUCGGUUGCCCGUCGUGUGCGGUCGUCGCGCAUCGAGGGCUCGAAAAAAUUGCCGAGUUCCGGCUCGGCUUUCAACGCGACCCCAGGUCAGGCGGGGUUACCCGCUGAAUUUAAGCAUAUCAAUAAGCGGAGGA
rnacentral:misc_RNA from 1 species